rnacentral:rRNA from 1 species
AUUGAACGCUGGCGGCAUGCCUUACACAUGCAAGUCGAACGGUAACAGGUCUUCGGAUGCUGACGAGUGGCGAACGGGUGAGUAAUACAUCGGAACGUGCCCGAUCGUGGGGGAUAACGAGGCGAAAGCUUUGCUAAUACCGCAUACGAUCUACGGAUGAAAGCGGGGGAUCUUCGGACCUCGCGCGGACGGAGCGGCCGAUGGCAGAUUAGGUAGUUGGUGGGAUAAAAGCUUACCAAGCCGACGAUCUAUAGCUGGUCUGAGAGGAUGAUCAGCCACACUGGGACUGAGACACGGCCCAGACUCCUACGGGAGGCAGCAGUGGGGAAUUUUGGACAAUGGGCGAAAGCCUGAUCCAGCCAUGCCGCGUGCAGGAUGAAGGCCUUUGGGUUGUAAACUGCUUUUGUACGGAACGAAAAGCCUCUUUCUAAUAAAGAGGGGUCAUGACGGUACCGUAAGAAUAAGCACCGGCUAACUACGUG